rnacentral:snRNA from 1 species
AGAUGUGAGGGUGAACAGGCACUGCACAUUGAUCACCAGGGUUGAUUUGGCUGAUCUGGCUGGCGAGGCAUGUGCUCCCUUCCCUGUUCCUUACUGUUUCAUGUGUGUCCCUACAGAGGCUGCUCACACAGUCUAGGAGGAUGAAUAGAGACUGACUGGUUGAGGGUGUAGGAGUAGCUGUGCUACCCUGCUAGAACUUCCAAACAAGUUCUCAAGGUCCACUGCUGAGUGGCCUAAUUAUACCAAUAUUUUCAUUUUUUAUUCGGAGAGCAAGAAAGAGACAGAGAAAGAGAAAUGACUCUGUUCUA